GACGAAGGGGGCUAGCGUUGUUCGGAAUUACUGGGCGUAAAGGGCGCGUAGGCGGCCUGUUAAGUCGAACGUGAAAUCCCCGGGCUCAACCCGGGAACUGCGUCCGAUACUGGCAGGCUUGAAUCCGGGAGAGGGAUGUGGAAUUCCACGUGUAGCAGUGAAAUGCGUAGAGAUGUGGAGGAACACCGAUGGCGAAGGCAGCCCCCUGGGCUAACACUGACGCUCAUGCACGAAAGCGUGGGGAGCAAACAGG
rnacentral:rRNA from 1 species